GGGAAAUAGUUGGAGACUCAGCAGUGCAGAAACUAGUUUACUCAGAAUGUUUGUUCCAACUCACGGAUGAUAUUGUCAGAUAAGAGCACAUUGGCAAGUUGCAGACGUUGACUUCCUGAAUUACAGAAAAUAGUUUCAGUCAGGAUACCAGAAAGCAUCAGGACUUCCAGGGCAUGGCUAUAGCUCCUCCUGAAAGAACAUUAGAAACACUUGAUUAUUUGUGUGAAAUACUUUGAAAUAAAAAAAGACUCUUUCUGCAUGAUUUAAUUCCUAAAGAAAAUCAAUAAACCUGAAGAAUGAUUUAUAUAUAUAUUUAUAUAUAUGUAAAAAUAUGUUCCAAUAAAAGUAUCAAUUAUUA